rnacentral:rRNA from 1 species
GAUGAACGCUGGCGGCGUGCCUAAUACAUGCAAGUCGAGCGAAUGGAUUAAGAGCUUGCUCUUAGGAAGUUAGCGGCGGACGGGUGAGUAACACGUGGGUAACCUGCCCAUAAGACUGGGAUAACUCCGGGAAACCGGGGCUAAUACCGGAUAACAUUUUGAACCGCAUGGUUCGAAAUUGAAAGGCGGCUUCGGCUGUCACUUAUGGAUGGCCCCGCGUCGCAUUAGCUAGUUGGUGAGGUAACGGCUCACCAAGGCAACGAUCCGUAGCCGACCUGAGAGGGUGAGAGGCCACACUGGGACUGAGACACGGCCCAGACUCCUACGGGAGGCAGCAGUAGGGAAUCUUCCGCAAUGGACGAAAGUCUGACGGGGCAACGCCGCGUGAGUGAUGAAGGCUUUCGGGUCGUAAAACUCUGUUGUUAGGGAAGAACAAGUGCUAGUUGAAUAAGCUGGCACCUUGACGGUACCUAACCAGAAAGCCACGGCUAACUACGUGCCAGCCGCCGCCGUAA